rnacentral:misc_RNA from 1 species
AACGCACGAGACCUGCGGACCUGCGGAGGGAUCAUUAAUGAGAAACUGCCCCUCGCGGGUAGAUCUCCCACCCUUUGUAAACUUACCUUUGUUGCUUUGGCAGGCCCGUCUCCGGACCGCCGGCUUCGGCUGGCCAGUGCCUGCCAGAGGAUUCUAAAACUCUGUCUGUCAGUGUUGUCUGAGUCUAUAUACAAUCGUUAAAACUUUUAACAAUGGAUCUCAAGAUCGGAAGAGCACACG